AUGAGGGCCAAAGAUUCAUAUUUCUACUGGAGAAUCAAGCUUGAUGAUGAGGACAUGGUUGAGAACUUGUUCUGGAUUGAUGGCGCAUCAUGCAAGGCAUAUGCAAAGUAUAAUGGCCGUUUGUCAUUCGACACGACAUACAUGAGAAACAUGUACAAGAUGCCAUGUGCACCAUUCAUUGGAAUUAAUAACCAUGGUCAAUCCAUCCAGUUUGGGUGUGGCUUCGUUCGAAACGAACCAAAGGAGAACUUUGUGUGGCUGUUUAACACCUUCCUCCACGCAAUGGGCGGUGUUGCUCCAAAAAACAUCAUCACAUAUCAAGACUUUGCAAUGAGGAGUGCAAUCGACGAGGUCUUCUUGAACAUAAUACAUAGAAAUUGCCGCUGGCAUAUAAUGAAGAAGGCACAGGAGAAACUUGGAAAGCUUACGACUGAUGAUAAACCACUAAACAAAGCGUUCAAAGACUGUGUCAACAACAGCUUAACUGGUACAUACCUAAUAUGUAAACACAUUUUAAUUACCAUGCAUCAAACUUGGAAAGCCAUAUGA
rnacentral:rRNA from 1 species